rnacentral:rRNA from 1 species
AGAGUUUGAUCAUGGCUCAGAACGAACGCUGGCGGCGUGGAUAAGACAUGCAAGUCGAACGCUGACAUUCAGGUAGCAAUAUUUGGAUGUCGGAGUGGCGCAAGGGUGCGUAACACGUGGGUAAUUUGCCGUAAAGUCUGGGACAACUUGCUGAAAGGCGAGCUAAUACCGGAUGUGAAUUUUCGAGGGCAUCUUUGGAAAUUCAAAGUUGGGGACCGCAAGGCCUGACGCUUUACGAUAAGCCCGCGGCCUAUCAGCUAGUUGGUGAGGUAACGGCUCACCAAGGCUAAGACGGGUAGCUGGUCUGAGAGGACGACCAGUCACACUGGAACUGAGACACGGUCCAGACACCUACGGGUGGCAGCAGUCGAGAAUUUUUCUCAAUGGGCGAAAGCCUGAAGGAGCGACGCCGCGUGGGGGAUGAAUGGCUUCGGCCCGUAAACCCCUGUCAUUUGCGAACAAAUUGGUUCACCCAACACGUGAACCAUUGAUUGUAGCGGAAGAGGAAGGGACGGCUAACUCUGUGCCAGCAGCCGCGGUAAUACAGAGGUCCCAAGCGUUGUUCGGAUUCACUGGGCGUAAAGGGUGCGUAGGCGGUUGGAUAAGUCUGAUGUGAAAUCCCGCAGCUUAACUGCGGAACUGCAUUGGAAACUAUCCGGCUAGAGGAAUGGAGGGGAGACUGGAAUACUUGGUGUAGCAGUGAAAUGCGUAGAUAUCAAGUGGAACACCAGUGGCGAAGGCGAGUCUCUGGACAUUUCCUGACGCUGAGGCACGAAAGCCAGGGGAGCAAACGGGAUUAGAUACCCCCGUAGUCC